ensembl:snoRNA SNORD116 Small nucleolar RNA SNORD116
GGAUUGAUGAUGACUCUCAUACAUACAAUCCUUGAAAAGUAGAAGAAAGUGAAUGAAAAAUCAAUACUGUCAUUCUCAUAGAACUGAGGUCC